GACGAAGGGGGCUAGCGUUGCUCGGAAUCACUGGGCGUAAAGGGUGCGUAGGCGGGUCUUUUAAGUCAGGGGUGAAAUCCUGGAGCUCAACUCCAGAACUGCCCUUGAUACUGAGGAUCUUGAGUUCGGGAGAGGUGAGUGGAACUGCGAGUGUAGAGGUGAAAUUCGUAGAUAUUCGCAAGAACACCAGUGGCGAAGGCGGCUCACUGGCCCGAUACUGACGCUGAGGCACGAAAAGCGUGGGGGAGCAAACAGG
rnacentral:rRNA from 1 species